CCCUGCUCACCUCAGCGGGAUGGGCGAGGCGCCUUAUCAGCCCAAAGAGCGUCCCUGUGUCCUUAGGAAGAGGAGUUCGCUGUCCAUGGUUAGGUCCUUUCUGUCACGUCACAGGUCAUUUCUGGCUCGCGCUUUGCUGUUCCAGGGCGUGGCUAUCUGAUCGCUUAGGAGGGUGGGCAGGUUGGCGGCAGUUCAGCCUUCCCUCUGGCGGAGAGUCUCAGGAUGGAGAAGACGAAUUAGCCGCGUGCGUGCAUGCCUGCGUCGGGCUUACAUAUGAGCAGCCAGUGUCUCAAAGACACCCAGGAAGAAAGGAAGGUGAAGGAGGACCAGGCAGAAGAAUAAAGGGACCAUCGUAUUCCUCUUAACUCCUCUGAGUUUGAGGGAACCCUGGAGAAGUGAGAAAAAACACAAUGGAAUAAAUCCAGCCUGAUUUAUUCAUGGACAGGAAAGGAUCUCCUUUCCUUGCUGGUUUGCAUAAUUAGAGCUAAUUAAUGUAAAGCAAUUGGAGAUGGAGAUCAGAGGCCAUUUUCAGUUGUUAUUUUCUAAAGACAGCAAUCAAAAUGCAGAUGAGCUCAGCCCUGAAGAGGAUUAGGCUUGCUAUCAAAGGAGAAAAUGGCAAAUGUAUGACUAUUGUGGCUUCUCUGUCCAUAGUGGCUGUCUAGGCUGGUAGCGUGGAUGUGAUGUGGCUGGCUGGCUGACACACUCCUCUUCCUUCAUUGACUGCCUUCUACCAAGAAAGGCUCAGUGCUGCUCUAGUGCUGCCUCUCUGGCCGCUGAAGGGAGGCAGGGGGCCAAGGAGUCUGCUUUCUUCCUACCUUCACCCCAUCCUGGAACAAGAUGGCACUAUUUUAAGGAGAAGCCGAAAAGAAGACUGGAAAGGAGCAACCAGUGAAGGAGAAAAACCAGGAAAAACUAAUGAUCCAUAAAAAGUACUUCAAGAAUGAAACCAUGAUCAAAGUCAGGUUUGAGGAAAUUAAAAGGACCAUAUUCUACUUACUGAAGAGCUGGAGGAUUUAGUCAAAAGCUUGGAGGCCAGUUUCAAGUCCUGUAUGAGUUGUGGGAAGCUAAAGGGUCAGCACUGGAAGGCUGAAAAGUCAGUGC